ensembl:lncRNA
ACUCUACACAGUUCUUCCUGACUUUUCUCUUUCUCUUUCUCCUCUUCCUCCUCCCCUUACUCCUCUUUCUUGUUCCUAAGAAACCAUAGGGUCAGCAGUUUUGCUUUGUCUUUCAUUUACUGUCAUAGUUUGCUACUUCAUUACAGGUCCCAGAGCAACAGUAAUCUUGGCCCAUGUGCUGAACAUCUCAAAGCAAAUAGUCACGACAUAAGUUGGUUCUCUUGAGGUCCUAUUAUCAAGUGGAAGGGCACCACAUAACGUUGCCAUUCAACAGUAAGCUUGAGAGACUAACUGUAGGUAAUAAUAUGGAAAAGUAUCUAUGGUCGAUCUAAUGAAGAUGUCUGGAAUAUCUUAAAGCAGCCAACAAGGAAAGCUUAUGACACUAUACAGAUCAUAAGGGGCAGCUAUGGUAAUGGCAUAAAAGCUCAGAACCCUAGGUGGAAUCCAGAUGGUGCUGGUUAUAGUGAGGUUUUAGAUGAAACAAACUUUAUUGAAAUUGGACAAUUCGUGACUUCAUGAAACAAAGGAAAUGUUAAAGUAGUAUAACAUUCAGGCUACAGUGUGACUAGGAAUGGGUAUUUUGUUUGUUUCUUUGUUUCGUACUCACAUAUCCUUUCAAAAGUUUGAAUACAAAAAAGAAGAAAGAGUUGGAAAGGUUACAGCUUGGCCAAAGAAGAAGCAUAGACACAUAACAAUGCAUCCAAGGUUACCAUUAAGGCUGAUAUAUUUAAGGAAAUAAUCCAAGUGAUUUUCACCAGAAUAAUCCAGAGAUUCUCUGAAUGAAAUCAGUUCAUAUAUCUCAGUCUUAGUUUGCUUUCACAGUCUUAUAUGGAUAGAAAGCCCGAUAGUGUAACAAACCUCCCAGAGAUUCAGACUCAUUCCUUCUAGUUCAGAUCACUAGGGCUGAGAGGGCAUUGCUGUCCUGAUUUAAUCAAGCCCAUGUACAGCUUGAACUUGUGGUGGGCCUUGGAGUUCACAGCUGAGGUAAUCUUGAGUCCCAAAGACUUUAAACGUGAAGUUCUGCACCCUUGAUUUUGGAGACCCUUGAAGGGGCAUGAGUUGCUUCUUAUUUUGUGAGAUGAACAUGAGACUCUGGAGGCCUGAAGCAGAACUCCACACUUUGCAUCUUCAAAGUCCUUCAAAGGUCCAGAAAGUUAUUUCCCAGGAUUGUGCUGUUGAGAGACUGUGGCAGCUUCCAGAGCAGAAGCUACUUCUAGACUAGCGUAUUCCCUCGUGGACAUCAGAGGAAGUCUCACCCAGAAUUCCAGUUUGAACAGG